GGUCAAGUGAAUAAGUGCAUCAGGCGGAUGCCUUGGCGAUGAUAGGCGACGAAGGACGUGUAAGCCUGCGAAAAGCGCGGGGGAGCUGGCAAUAAAGCUAUGAUUCCGCGAUGUCCGAAUGGGGAAACCCACUGCAUUCUGUGCAGUAUCCUAAGUUGAAUACAUAGGCUUAGAGAAGCGAACCCGGAGAACUGAACCAUCUAAGUACCCGGAGGAAAAGAAAUCAACCGAGAUUCCGCAAGUAGUGGCGAGCGAACGCGGAGGAGCCUGUACGUAAUAACUGUCGAGAUAGAAGAACAAGCUGGGAAGCUUGACCAUAGCGGGUGACAGUCCCGUAUUCGAAAUCUCAACAGCGGUACUAAGCGUACGAAAAGUAGGGCGGGACACGUGAAAUCCUGUCUGAAUAUGGGGGGACCAUCCUCCAAGGCUAAAUACUCAUCAUCGACCGAUAGUGAACCAGUACCGUGAGGGAAAGGCGAAAAGAACCCCGGGAGGGGAGUGAAACAGAACCUGAAACCUGAUGCAUACAAACAGUGGGAGCGCCCUAGUGGUGUGACUGCGUACCUUUUGUAUAAUGGGUCAACGACUUACAUUCAGUAGCGAGCUUAACCGGAUAGGGGAGGCGUAGGGAAACCGAGUCUUAAUAGGGCGAUGAGUUGCUGGGUGCAGACCCGAAACCGAGUGAUCUAUCCAUGGCCAGGUUGAAGGUGCCGUAACAGGUACUGGAGGACCGAACCCACGCAUGUUGCAAAAUGCGGGGAUGAGCUGUGGGUAGGGGUGAAAGGCUAAACAAACUCGGAGAUAGCUGGUUCUCCCCGAAAACUAUUUAGGUAGUGCCUCGAGCAAGACACUGAUGGGGGUAAAGCACUGUUAUGGCUAGGGGGUUAUUGCAACUUACCAACCCAUGGCAAACUCAGAAUACCAUCAAGUGGUUCCUCGGGAGACAGACAGCGGGUGCUAACGUCCGUUGUCAAGAGGGAAACAACCCAGACCGCCGGCUAAGGUCCCAAAUGAUAGAUUAAGUGGUAAACGAAGUGGGAAGGCACAGACAGCCAGGAUGUUGGCUUAGAAGCAGCCAUCAUUUAAAGAAAGCGUAAUAGCUCACUGGUCGAGUCGUCCUGCGCGGAAGAUGUAACGGGGCUCAAAUCUAUAACCGAAGCUGCGGAUGCCGGUUUACCGGCAUGGUAGGGGAGCGUUCUGUAGGCUGAUGAAGGUGCAUUGUAAAGUGUGCUGGAGGUAUCAGAAGUGCGAAUGUUGACAUGAGUAGCGAUAAAGCGGGUGAAAAGCCCGCUCGCCGAAAGCCCAAGGUUUCCUACGCAACGUUCAUCGGCGUAGGGUAAGUCGGCCCCUAAGGCGAGGCAGAAAUGCGUAGUCGAUGGGAAACAGGUUAAUAUUCCUGUACUUGAUUCAAAUGCGAUGUGGGGACGGAGAAGGUUAGGUUGGCAAGCUGUUGGAAUAGCUUGUUUAAGCCGGUAGGUGGAAGACUUAGGCAAAUCCGGGUUUUCUUAACACCGAGAAGUGAUGACGAGUGUCUACGGACACGAAGCAACCGAUACCACGCUUCCAGGAAAAGCCACUAAGCUUCAGUUUGAAUCGAACCGUACCGCAAACCGACACAGGUGGGCAGGAUGAGAAUUCUAAGGCGCUUGAGAGAACUCGGGAGAAGGAACUCGGCAAAUUGAUACCGUAACUUCGGGAGAAGGUAUGCCCUCUAAGGUUAAGGACUUGCUCCGUAAGCCCCGGAGGGUCGCAGAGAAUAGGUGGCUGCGACUGUUUAUUAAAAACACAGCACUCUGCCAACACGAAAGUGGACGUAUAGGGUGUGACGCCUGCCCGGUGCCGGAAGGUUAAUUGAAGAUGUGCAAGCAUCGGAUCGAAGCCCCGGUAAACGGCGGCCGUAACUAUAACGGUCCUAAGGUAGCGAAAUUCCUUGUCGGGUAAGUUCCGACCCGCACGAAUGGCGUAACGAUGGCCACACUGUCUCCUCCCGAGACUCAGCGAAGUUGAAGUGGUUGUGAAGAUGCAAUCUACCCGCUGCUAGACGGAAAGACCCCGUGAACCUUUACUGUAGCUUUGCAUUGGACUUUGAAGUCACUUGUGUAGGAUAGGUGGGAGGCUUGGAAGCAGAGACGCCAGUCUCUGUGGAGUCGUCCUUGAAAUACCACCCUGGUGUCUUUGAGGUUCUAACCCAGACCCGUCAUCCGGGUCGGGGACCGUGCAUGGUAGGCAGUUUGACUGGGGCGGUCUCCUCCCAAAGCGUAACGGAGGAGUUCGAAGGUUACCUAGGUCCGGUCGGAAAUCGGACUGAUAGUGCAAUGGCAAAAGGUAGCUUAACUGCGAGACCGACAAGUCGGGCAGGUGCGAAAGCAGGACAUAGUGAUCCGGUGGUUCUGUAUGGAAGGGCCAUCGCUCAACGGAUAAAAGGUACUCCGGGGAUAACAGGCUGAUUCCGCCCAAGAGUUCAUAUCGACGGCGGAGUUUGGCACCUCGAUGUCGGCUCAUCACAUCCUGGGGCUGUAGUCGGUCCCAAGGGUAUGGCUGUUCGCCAUUUAAAGUGGUACGUGAGCUGGGUUUAAAACGUCGUGAGACAGUUUGGUCUCUAUCUGCAGUGGGCGUUGGAAGUUUGACGGGGGCUGCUCCUAGUACGAGAGGACCGGAGUGGACGAACCUCUGGUGUACCGGUUGUAACGCCAGUUGCAUAGCCGGGUAGCUAAGUUCGGAAGAGAUAAGCGCUGAAAGCAUCUAAGCGCGAAACUCGCCUGAAGAUGAGACUUCCCUUGCGGUUUAACCGCACUAAAGGGUCGUUCGAGACCAGGACGUUGAUAGGUGGGGUGUGGAAGCGCGGUAACGCGUGAAGCUAACCCAUACUAAUUGCCCGUGAGGCUUGACUCU
rnacentral:rRNA from 1 species